AGUGAACGCUGGCGGUAGGCCUAACACAUGCAAGUCGAACGGCAGCACAGUAAGAGCUUGCUCUUACGGGUGGCGAGUGGCGGACGGGUGAGGAAUACAUCGGAAUCUACUUUUUCGUGGGGGAUAACGUAGGGAAACUUACGCUAAUACCGCAUACGACCUACGGGUGAAAGCAGGGGAUCUUCGGACCUUGCGCGAUUGGAUGAGCCGAUGUCGGAUUAGCUAGUUGGCGGGGUAAAGGCCCACCAAGGCGACGAUCCGUAGCUGGUCUGAGAGGAUGAUCAGCCACACUGGAACUGAGACACGGUCCAGACUCCGACGGGAGGCAGCAGUGGGGAAUAUUGGACAAUGGGCGCAAGCCUGAUCCAGCCAUACCGCGUGGGUGAAGAAGGCCUUCGGGUUGUAAAGCCCUUUUGUUGGGAAAGAAAAGCAGCAGGUUAAUACCCCGCUGUUCUGACGGUACCCAAAGAAUAAGCACCGGCUAACUUCGUG
rnacentral:rRNA from 1 species